rnacentral:rRNA from 1 species
UACGAAGGGGGCUAGCGUUGCUCGGAAUUACUGGGCGUAAAGGGCGCGUAGGCGGAUGUUUAAGUCGGGGGUGAAAGCCCGGGGCUCAACCUCGGAAUUGCCUUCGAUACUGGACAUCUUGAGUACGGGAGAGGUGAGUGGAACUCCGAGUGUAGAGGUGAAAUUCGUAGAUAUUCGGAAGAACACCAGUGGCGAAGGCGACUCACUGGCCCGUUACUGACGCUGAGGCGCGAAAGCCAGGGGAGCGAACGGG